UACGGAGGGUGCGAGCGUUGUCCGGAAUCACUGGGCGUAAAGGGCGCGUAGGCGGCGCGAGUAGUCAACGGUGAAAGCCCGGGGCUCAACCCCGGGUCGGCCGUCGAUACUCUCGUGCUUGAGCACUGUAGAGGCAGGUGGAAUUCCGGGUGUAGCGGUGGAAUGCGUAGAGAUCCGGAAGAACACCGGUGGCGAAGGCGGCCUGCUGGGCAGUAGCUGACGCUGAGGCGCGACAGCGUGGGGAGCGAACAGG
rnacentral:rRNA from 1 species